GCAUGAGCGGGGUCGAUCGAUAUUCCCCAACAUCAACCAGUGGCUGAAAUCAUAUCUCCGUUGCUUGCCUUCUCUGUAGAUAACUAUUGAUCUUGAUAUCAUUCAGUAUUUGAAGUCAUCACAUCGUUUUGUCCAGUGAGCCAGGUUGAAUAUGGAACGGACCUUUCAAUCCAAUGCGUGGAAAAGGUCCCGCAUCCCGUCCCUCCCAACGACUUCAAUACUACCAUCAUCCGGAUCAUGAGCGAACGCCAGAACAGUAAUGUAAAGAAGCGACUAAACAAGAAAAGAAGAAGAGCAACCGAUGUUUGAGAAAACGACGAGGAGAACGAUUAUAGAGAUGAUGGUUGGGGUUUGGGAUAUUUGCUUGCCAACUUCCUCAGAACGCGAUUGUAGAGGAAAAAGGGUAGGGCAAGGGCGAGAAAGAGAACAGCCCGCAGCCCUCGCCGGCGGAGAGGGCGCGCUUCAGUAGGCCGUGGAGAACGAACACGCCGCUCGUCCUCGACGAGGACGACCCUCACCGCGGCGAGCGGAGCGAUGCUCCUCCGUGGCCGACGCCCAGGGCC
rnacentral:lncRNA from 1 species